rnacentral:tRNA from 2 species
GCCCCUGUGGUGGAAUGGUAGACACACCAGUUUUAGGAACUGGCGCUUUACGGCUUGUCGGUUCAAGUCCGACCGGGGGCA